rnacentral:lncRNA from 1 species
CUAUUUCAAUGAUGAAAUAACUGCUCACAUGAUGUCUUAGGACUGGCAGGACCAUAAGGAGAAGAAUAAUGAAGUUAUUUAAUUUUUAUUGCUGACAUUAAAAAGAAAGGAAAUAAAAAAACAAACUCAAGGAAGACUUGGCUAUGGUUAAAACACUUCUUGAUCUCCUGCUUGGUUGUGCUUGUAAACACUGGAUAAAUUAAUAGCAAAUAUGUUGCACAACUUAGAGGUAUGAGAGUCUGGGCAGUGUUGAUGCAGUACACCUUGUGCAGUGAGGAGACUCCUGAAAUGGUUCCUGCUGACCUCCCCCAGAAAAACAAUAUUAGUCUUUGGUGGCCAGGGAAAAUAACAAAAGUUGAUGAAGGUGGUCUCCAGAUGAUACAGCCCUCACAGAAGCAAUCACUCUGUUCUCCAUUUCCACUGACUAGGAAGCAAAUCUACGACACUACCAGGUCUGGCAAGCGCAGGGCCUGCCAUCACUGA